AAUAUCUUACAAUAAAUAUCUUUAAAAGUAUUAAGAAUUACUAGAAAUUGAAAAGAUGAAUUUUUUCUCUUUAAUAUCAUUUUUUAUUGUUAUGAUUUACUUUACUGAAGCAACAAUUGCUAUAGAAGACGAUUCACAACUUGAACAAAAUGAUUCAGAUUUGAGAGUUAAACGCCAAAUUCUAUCAUAUUGUUCGUUAUCUGAUUGUGCUAUGUCUUGUCGUUACACUGGUAAAAUAGGUGGAUCUUGCGUAUUGAAUAAAUGCUCAUGUUAUUAAAUAUUUUUCUGUUAAUCUAUUGUAUAAAAUACAUAAUAAAAUUAUAAAUUUUUUUUUCAAAGUUUUACUAUAUUAAAUUCGAUUAGUUCAGAUAUUUUAUUCAAAAAUAUUAUUUCUUUUUUAUGUUGAAUUAAAAAUUAUUCAGUUAUUAAAUAAUGCGUCAAUUAUAACAAUCCUUUAAUUAUAUUUUAAAUUUAACUAAUCAUAAUAAAUUAUAAUUGUAUAAUAAAACAAUUUAACGAGUCAUUACUAAA